CAUCUCGCAGGAUCACACCUGGAGAGUUUCCAGUACUCUACCAGUCUCGACUACACGAGGGAGAGUCAAGCAGAGGCAUAUCCAUUCCAUUCCUAGCUUGGGCAGUGGUUAGCAAGUGGAAGGCAAUCUGCUACAAGU
rnacentral:snoRNA from 2 species